rnacentral:rRNA from 1 species
UACGUAGGGUGCGAGCGUUAAUCGGAAUUACUGGGCGUAAAGCGUGCGCAGGCGGUUCGUUGUGUCGGCGGUGAAAUCCCCGGGCUCAACCUGGGAAUGGCCGUUGAAACUGGCGAACUGGAGUGUGGCAGAGGGGGGUGGAAUUCCGCGUGUAGCAGUGAAAUGCGUAGAGAUGCGGAGGAACACCGAUGGCGAAGGCAGCCCCCUGGGCCGACACUGACGCUCAGGCACGAAAGCGUGGGGAGCAAACAGG